GACGAACCGUCCUAACGUUGUUCGGAAUCACUGGGCUUAAAGGGCGCGUAGGCGGGCAGCCAAGUCUGAGGUGAAAUCUUUCGGCUUAACCGGAAAAUAGCCUUGGAUACUGACAGUCUCGAGGGAGGUAGGGGCAUGUGGAACUUCCGGUGGAGCGGUGAAAUGCGUUGAUAUCGGAAGGAACGCCGGUGGCGAAAGCGACGUGCUGGACCUCUACUGACGCUGAGGCGCGAAAGCCAGGGGAGCAAACGGG
rnacentral:rRNA from 1 species